rnacentral:lncRNA from 1 species
UCUUUCUUAAAAAUGUUAGAAACUCUUUUCAAUUAUUAUGUAAAUCAAAUACUCAUCAGAAAAUGUACAAAAAAAUCCUUUUCAUUAUAUAUUAAGCAAAUCCAAAAGAUACAACUGGAACAUUACUAGAUAGCAUAUAUUUGGUAGACGUUUUAAAUUUUUUCAAAAUGCAACAUUAUAUAUUUCUUCACUUGUUUUCUUGAAAUAUUGUGUAACCAUUGAACCAUUGAAUAAUUAAUAUACCAUUUAUGCAAGCAUAAAAUAUUUAGAAAAAAAGUUAAUUGCAACCUCAAAUCAUGUGAAAGAGACUUGGCAUUUUCUAACAUCAGUAAUUUAAUCAUAAUGAAAUGCUAUUGGUGAAUCUGAAAUUUGUAGAACAAUUAUUUCUAAAAACUUUCAAGUGUCCCUUUGGCACUAAAAAUGCCAUAAACAUUAUGUUUUCAUUUUUCUGGAAGACAGUUAUCAAUAAACUAAACCAAGAUCACUUGAUGUGAGUAUACCUAAGCUAUCUUGAAUGGGUAAGCGUCAAUCCUCUGAGACAGUUUAACAAAUUUUAAUUUCCCAUAUAGUUUAUACACAAAAUUAGGUAAACAUAAAAAAAACAGGAAGGUUGUACUGCGGUAGUGUCAACCAACUGAAAUGGUGUAACAAAUUUUAAUUUCCAAAAUGAGGUAAAAGGAAAAGAAAAAAAGUACAAACUGCAGCUUUAUCUUAGGCUUUUUAUAGCAAUAUGUUCAAUCUAUAAGUAACAGUGAGAUGACCACAUAUGUACAACACUGACCAUAUUAGACAGAUAUCUAGUAGCUGUUAUAUUGUAUAGAUAUCUUAAAUAUUUCUUAUAGCUAGCUGGUUAAAUAUAUGUACACAAGUUUUCUUGUUUAGAAACAGCAAUUUAAUUCUUACUAUAAUAUAACUCUAUUUGUAUUAAGUGAGAUCUACAUUAAAAUGUGAAUGUUAUUUAUUACUACAAAGUUGUGGUUAUACAGAAUUUCAUUAUUAAUUAUAAUUUUCCUGUAAUAUCUGUGACUUGAUGUUACCUAUAUGAUGCUAAACUUUUCAUUUAUGUCAGAAUUGUCCUGAAUACAGCUAUUGAAAUUUGAAGUGUUUUUCAGGAGUAAAGUUUAUUGUUAUUACAAUAUUCUCUUCUGUAAGCUGUGUAUUUUAAUCACCCAUUAAAAUCGUUCACUCUCAGAUGGAAUUACACAAACAAAAUAGUGAUGGCAAUAUCCAUUGCCCAAUGUUUUUCAGUUUACCAAAAAAAAAUUUUUUUAUCAUUACAAAAUCAACCAAAAAAGGGUAUUUUUCUGUAAAUUUAAAUUGAAAUUUUCCUUGAACAUCUCAAAUACUACUGAACAAUGCUAUGAAACUUCUGUAAAAAAGGAAAAUCACAAAAAAACUGAUUUCUGAGGAAAAUUCAAAAAUUAGAAUAAGUCCUGAAAGCAAUGUAUAAAUUGUUCCCAUUAUUCUCCAUUGUAAACAAUUAUGAUCAUUGGUGUAAUCAAAAGUUUAAUAUAACAUAUUUAAAAAAAGACUAUACAAACAUUGUCUUGUUUUGUUAACUAUUCCAUGCAACACUAGGCCACGUUCAGUGUCUUCAAUGUCAUAAUAUGUGUACUAUGUCAUAAUUUGUAGUGUACUAUGUCAUAAUUUGUAGUGUACUAUGUCAUAAUUUGUAGUGUUCUAUGUCAUCAACUGUUACAAUUUAUGUUACAAUCUUACAUUACAUUACAAUGAACAAAUACAUCACAUGGCACAGUUAAUAUGACCAAUGAUGAAAAAUCGGCGGUUUCUUUUCAAUAUACACAUCAAGAAGAAUUAUAAUUAUUAAAAACACCCUUUAAAAUGUUUGCCUGAGUUAAACAAACUUGUUACAUGGUUGAAUGAAGAUGAAGUUCAAGAUGGCAGCUACCAGAAUUGUUUCUAUUGAAAAUGAUAAGCCUGUCAAAUUAGAAGUUGGAGACUUAACUAUCCUAAUAAAUAAAGACUUUCUAAUUCAAUACUUGCUUUUAAAACAAAUUAUUUCUUUAAAUUUUCAUUAAUUAUGUAAACUUUUUAAGAAGAUAAGCACUCAUGA